AUUUGAAAGUUCACCUUUCAAACAAAGUGCUUUCAAAUAAGUUCCCAAAUGAACCCCGGUGAGUUAGUGCUUAUAUAAGCAUGGCUCAUAUUUUAAAUAUUGUAUAUAAGUAUAGGUCAUUCUUUCUUAAAUAUUUAUAUAACUAUAGGUACUGAAUUUCAGUGAAUGUUAUAUUAAAAUGGGUACGUUUUUUGAGGCAAAAAUGGCACACCCCUACCAAGAAAAUAUCGAAGUUACACCCCCCCCCC
rnacentral:lncRNA from 1 species